rnacentral:rRNA from 1 species
GACGAACGCUGGCGGCGUGCUUAACACAUGCAAGUCGAACGGAAAGGCCCUGCUUUUGUGGGGUGCUCGAGUGGCGAACGGGUGAGUAACACGUGAGUAACCUGCCCUUGACUUUGGGAUAACUUCAGGAAACUGGGGCUAAUACCGGAUAGGAGCUCCUGCUGCAUGGUGGGGGUUGGAAAGUUUCGGCGGUUGGGGAUGGACUCGCGGCUUAUCAGCUUGUUGGUGGGGUAGUGGCUUACCAAGGCUUUGACGGGUAGCCGGCCUGAGAGGGUGACCGGCCACAUUGGGACUGAGAUACGGCACAGACUCCAACGGGAGGCAGCAGUGGGGAAUAUUGCACAAUGGGCGGAAGCCUGAUGCAGCAACGCCGCGUGCGGGAUGAAGGGCUGCGGGUUGUAAACCGCAUUCGCCUGUGACGAAGCGUGAGUGACGGUAAUGGGUAAAGAAGCACCGGCUAAAUACGUG